UACACUUAGAGGGAUCCACAGAUUCAAGAGGCUGCUUGGGGAGGGCAGCACAGUGAAGUACAAGGACUUUGACAUCAGAGAGGCCUGGAUUCAAGUCCCAAUUUCGAUCUCUCUCUCUGCGGAAGCCAGCCACCGCUCUCCAAGGACUCUCGAGCAGCUCCAUCUACAGAUUCACAUGGAGAAGAAUUAAGGGUUCCUGCCAAUCACCAGCACCACUUUGCCAGCCUUGUAAGUGGGCCACCUUGGAAUUGGAGCCUCCAGUUCCUACUGACAUCUGACUGCAACAUCAUGAGAGACCCUGAGUUUGAACCACCCAGCUGAGCUGCUUCUGAGCUAACCCACUGAAACGGUGAAAGUACCUGAAUGAAACAACACCCAGUAGCCACUAGCACACCUAGCUCCCAGAUCUGUUUUUGAUGCCAUUCUUCAGUAAAAGGAAGCAAGGCUGCUUGGAGAAAUUGCUAUCAAGGACUGGGGUAGAAAAUAUACAAGAUGAAAUUGGAGCAUCUUGUAGUGCUUGAAGGAACACAGCUUGAACAACAAAAUAAAUAAAAUGAUGGUGGAUUAUAAAACAAACUAUACUUGUAUAAAUAAAUUACUGAAUAAAUAAAUAAAUAGAGAAGAUGAGGCAAAUAUCCCAUGUUGAAGAAUUCCAAAUAAUUGAUGUAGAUACUGUGCUCUCAAGGAGGGGGGCAUAAAUUUUCACUCCUAAGUGUGGGCUGCUCAUAGUGACUUCGACAGUUGGCAUCUGUGUGAAGAUGUGAAUGGAGGAGGCAGAGUAGGCAGUGAGUGCCGCAGCCACAGCUUGUGUUCUCUGCAGCCCUGGCACAGAAGAUAGGAACACUCAUGGGGGAUGCGGCCACUGUGAUGUCUUCCCACACAAGAAGUGCCAAGUGCUUUUCUCAUGCUUUUCUGGAUUGUCCCAUGGUGGACGAGUCAGCAGGAGUGAGAUGGAGCAGCACAGUAGAGGGCACCUGCUCUGUUUUGUCCCAGGCCAGGAUAUCGUUGUACAUAUUCUCAGCUAAGUGAGCACCAAUAGAGGAGAGGGAGAGUCUCAUGGAAGUUCCUUCUAAGCCUUUGGCUCUUUUUACCUUCAACAAGGUGUGCCACCUCUUUGAUCCAGCAAGUGGGAAGAACAGUCCCGGCCUCUUUGCACACAAGACCGUGAUACCAAUGCACCAUCACAGGCCCCACAGGGGAGCUGUCCGCUUCCCCACACAGCUGCUAGGGGCUCUUUUGCAUGUUCCCAACCUUUCCUGCCUUUAUCUGAUAUUGGUUCCUUAGAUCCUGGGAUGAGGAGGUGGACCAGCAGAAGGUGGGCUUGUGAAGGCAGCCCGGGGUCCAAAUCCUCCUGGCUCUUCAGCUUAGCGGGUUAGUUAACAUUCAGAAGCCUUCAUCUCCCAUCUGCAAAAUGGGCAUGUCCAACUCAGAAGCUGCCUUGAAGAAAGGGUCUACCCAGCAUGGUGCGUGGAGCCUAAGCAGUCAGUACUUCAGGACUUCACCCGGCCCCUUUCCAAUAACUGCUGCUGUCGCCCUCACAGGAUGUCACCUUCAGCGUCUGAAAGCUGGGUUUGAUGCGUCUGGAAAGGCGUCCCUGACAGGCGUCGUUGCCAGGAGCCCCUAGUGCCACCAGCAGCCAGCAGGGGAGGGCGUCCUCUGCCCGCUCACUUCUGACCCUUCUCUCGUUGCACCCGGAACAUGGUGCAGCUGGGAGCAGCCUGGGCUGCGCGGAAGGCUCAGAUUUGGGGACGGCCCUUGCCAGUGACUGUGAGCUGGGGUGUCUUGGAAACUCCCAGUCUCAGCUUCUCCAUUUAUAAGAUGAGAAUGAUCAUACCAGACUCAGGCAAGGUUGUUUGUGCAUUAGUGAAAUCAGACGUAUUAAAUAAAGUACCACAUUGAUCGUGGAGUUGUUGAAUAACCA
rnacentral:lncRNA from 10 species